rnacentral:rRNA from 1 species
CCUACGGGUGGCAGCAGUGGGGAAUAUUGGGCAAUGGAGGCAACUCUGACCCAGCAAUGCAGCGUGAGUGAUGAAGGUCAUUUUAUUGUAAAGCUCUUUUCUUUGGAACGAAUAAAUGACGGUACCAAAGGCAUAAGCCCCGGCUAACUACGUGCCAGCAGCCGCGGUAAUACGUAGGGGGCAAGCGUAGUGCGGAAUGACUGGGCGUAAAGGGUGUGUAGGGGGUUUGAUAAGUUAGAUGUGUAAUACCCAGGGCUUAACUCGGGUGCUGCAUCUAAAACUGUUAGACUUGAGUGCUGGAGGGGAGAGUGGAAUUCCUAGUGUAGCGGUGGAAUGCUUAGAUAUUAGGAGGAACAUCGGUGGCGAAGGCGACUAUCUGGAGAGCAACUGACACUGAGGCACGAAAGCGUGGGGAGCAAACAGGAUUAGAUACCCGAGUAGUC